rnacentral:rRNA from 1 species
GAUAAACGCUGGCGGCGCACAUAAGACAUGCAAGUCGAACGGACUUAACCGAAAGUUUACUUUUGGAGCGGUUAGUGGCGGACUGGUGAGUAACACGUAAGCAACCUGCCUAUCAGAGGGGAACAACAGUUAGAAAUGACUGCUAAUACCGCAUAUGCCUAAGUAUCACAUGGUACAAUAGGGAAAGAAGUAAUUCGCUGAUAGAUGGGCUUGCGUCUGAUUAGAUAGUUGGUGGGGUAACGGCCUACCAAGUCGACGAUCAGUAGCCGGACUGAGAGGUUGAACGGCCACAUUGGGACUGAGAUACGGCCCAGACUCCUACGGGAGGCAGCAGUGGGGAAUAUUGGGCAAUGGGGGAAACCCUGACCCAGCAACGCCGCGUGAAGGAAGAAGGCUUUCGGGUUGUAAACUUCUUUUACCUAGGGACGAAGGACGUGACGGUACCUGGAGAAAAAGCCACGGCUAACUACGUG